rnacentral:rRNA from 1 species
UACAGAGGUCUCAAGCGUUGUUCGGAUUCAUUGGGCGUAAAGGGCUCGUAGGCGGCCAACUAAGUCGGACGUGAAAUCCCCAGGCUCAACCUGGGAACUGCGUCUGAUACUGGAUGGCUUGAGUCCGGGAGAGGGAUGCAGAAUUCCAGGUGUAGCGGUGAAAUGCGUAGAUAUCUGGAGGAAUACCGGUGGCGAAGGCGGCAUCCUGGACCGGCAUUGACGCUGAGGCGCGAAAGCUAGGGGAGCAAACGGG